AAAUUGAAGAGUUUGAUCAUGGCUCAGAUUGAACGCUGGCGGCAGGCCUAACACAUGCAAGUCGAACGGUAACAGGAAGCAGCUUGCUGCUUCGCUGACGAGUGGCGGACGGGUGAGUAAUGUCUGGGAAACUGCCUGAUGGAGGGGGAUAACUACUGGAAACGGUGGCUAAUACCGCAUAACGUCGCAAGACCAAAGAGGGGGACCUUCGGGCCUCUUGCCAUCAGAUGUGCCCAGAUGGGAUUAGCUUGUUGGUGAGGUAACGGCUCACCAAGGCGACGAUCCCUAGCUGGUCUGAGAGGAUGACCAGCCACACUGGAACUGAGACACGGUCCAGACUCCUACGGGAGGCAGCAGUGGGGAAUAUUGCACAAUGGGCGCAAGCCUGAUGCAGCCAUGCCGCGUGUAUGAAGAAGGCCUUCGGGUUGUAAAGUACUUUCAGCGGGGAGGAAGGUGUUGUGGUUAAUAACCGCAGCAAUUGACGUUACCCGCAGAAGAAGCACCGGCUAACUCCGUGCCAGCAGCCGCGGUAAUACGGAGGGUGCAAGCGUUAAUCGGAAUUACUGGGCGUAAAGCGCACGCAGGCGGUCUGUCAAGUCGGAUGUGAAAUCCCCGGGCUCAACCUGGGAACUGCAUUCGAAACUGGCAGGCUUGAGUCUUGUAGAGGGGGGUAGAAUUCCAGGUGUAGCGGUGAAAUGCGUAGAGAUCUGGAGGAAUACCGGUGGCGAAGGCGGCCCCCUGGACAAAGACUGACGCUCAGGUGCGAAAGCGUGGGGAGCAAACAGGAUUAGAUACCCUGGUAGUCCACGCCGUAAACGAUGUCUACUUGGAGGUUGUGCCCUUGAGGCGUGGCUUCCGGAGCUAACGCGUUAAGUAGACCGCCUGGGGAGUACGGCCGCAAGGUUAAAACUCAAAUGAAUUGACGGGGGCCCGCACAAGCGGUGGAGCAUGUGGUUUAAUUCGAUGCAACGCGAAGAACCUUACCUGGUCUUGACAUCCACAGAAGAAUCCAGAGAUGGAUUGGUGCCUUCGGGAACUGUGAGACAGGUGCUGCAUGGCUGUCGUCAGCUCGUGUUGUGAAAUGUUGGGUUAAGUCCCGCAACGAGCGCAAC
rnacentral:rRNA from 1 species